UACAGAGGGUGCUAGCGUUGUUCGGAAUUAUUGGGCGUAAAGGGCGCGUAGGCGGCCCUGUGUGUCGGGUGUGAAAGCCCACCUCUUAAAGGUGGAAUUGCAUUCGAAACUACAGGGCUGGAGUGUCGGAGAGGAUGGCGGAAUUCCUGGUGUAGAGGUGAAAUUCGUAGAUAUCAGGAGGAACACCGGUGGCGAAGGCGGCGAGCUGGUCCAUUACUGACGCUGAGGCGCGACAGCGUGGGGAGCAAACAGG
rnacentral:rRNA from 1 species